CCUACGGGAGGCAGCAGUGGGGAAUAUUGGACAAUGGGGGGAACCCUGAUCCAGCGACGCCGCGUGAGUGAAGAAGGAUUUCGGUAUGUAAAGCUCUAUCAGCAGGGAAGAAAGAAAUGACGGUAAGUGACUAAGAAGCCCCGGCUAACUACGGGCCAGCAGCCGCGGUAAUACGUAGGGGGCAAGCGUUAGCCGGAUUUACGGGGUGUAAAGGGAGCGUAGACGGUGCAGAAAGUCUGAUGGGAAAGGUCGGGGCCCAACCCCGGGACUGCAUUGGAAACUGUUGAACUGGAGUACAGGAGCGGUCAGCGGAUUUCCUAGUGUCGCGGUGAAAUGCGUAGCUAUUAGGAGGAACACCAGUGGCGAAGGCGGCUUACUGGACUGUAACUGACGUUGAGGCUCGAAAGCGUGGGGAGCAAACAGGAUUAGAUACCCUAGUAGUC
rnacentral:rRNA from 1 species